AAGGCUUUAAGUUAAACAAAACUAAUAGCCUUCAAAGCUGUAAAUAUAGGAGAUCCUUUAAGCCUUA
rnacentral:tRNA from 1 species